rnacentral:rRNA from 1 species
GAUGAACGCUGGCGGCGGGCCUAAUACAUGCAAGUCGAGCGGAGCGGGGACGGGUGAGUAACACGUGGAUAACCUCCUAUAUGACUGGGAUAACUUCGGGGAACCGGAGCCAAACCGGAUACUUAUUCGUCGAUCCUCGCUGUAUUAGCUAGUUGGUAAGGUAACGGCUUACCAAGGCAACGAUGCAUAGCAGACCUGAGAGGGUGAUCCGCCACACUGGAACUGAGACACGGUCCAGACUCCUACGGGAGGCAGCAGUAGGGAAUCGUCCGCAAUGGGCGAAAGCCUGACGGAGCAACGCCGCGUGAGUGAUGAAGGUCUUCGGAUCGUAAAACUCUGUUAUUAGGGAAGCGGUACCUAACCAGAAAGCCACGGCUAACUACGUGCCAGCAGCCGCGGUAAUAC